GAUCAUGGCUCAGGAUGAACGCUGGCGGCGUGCUUAACACAUGCAAGUCGAACGAAGCACUUUAAUCGAUUUCUUCGGAUUGAAAUUUUAGUGACUGAGUGGCGGACGGGUGAGUAACGCGUGGGUAACCUGCCUCAUACAGGGGGAUAACAGUUAGAAAUGACUGCUAAUACCGCAUAAGCGCACAGUACCACAUGGUACGGUGUGAAAAACUCCGGUGGUAUGAGAUGGACCCGCGU
rnacentral:rRNA from 1 species